GAAAGCCGUGUACGGGAGAACCGUAUGCACGGUUUGAUGAAGGAGGACAGACCAACAUGGCCACGCAUCGGCUAUUGAGGCACCGCCAAACGAAAGGGACGGCAACAGAUAGGCUGGCGCUACGGAAAUGGUAACCUAUUCUUUAC
rnacentral:ncRNA from 1 species